rnacentral:tRNA from 1 species
GAGGGUAUAACUCAGUGGUAGAGUGCGUGCUUAGCAUGCAUGAGGUCCUGGGUUCAAUCCCCAGUACCUCCA